rnacentral:rRNA from 1 species
GACGAACGCUGGCGGCGUGCUUAACACAUGCAAGUCGAACGAAGUGGCGAACGGGUGAGUAACGCGUAAUCCACCUGCCCUUCGGAGGGGGACAACAGUUGGCAACGACUGCUACUACCUCAUACUGAAGCUGGGGGUUGCGUGUGCUUCGCUCGUUGGCGGGGUAACGGCCCACCAAGGCGAUGAUCAGUAGCCGGUCUGGGAGGAUGAACGGCCACAUUGGGACUGGGACACGGGCCAGACUCCUACGGGGAGCAGCAGUGGGGAAUCUUCCGCAAUGGAGGAAAGUCUGACGGAGCAACGCCGCGUGAGUGAUGACGGCCUUCGGGUUGUAAAGCUCUGUUAAUCGGGAAGCGGUACCGGAAUAGAAAGCCACGGCUAACUACGUGCCAGCCGCCGCGGUAAUUC